rnacentral:rRNA from 1 species
UCCGGUUGAUCCUGCCGGACCUGACUGCUAUCGGAUUGGUACUAAGCCAUGCGAGUCAUUGUAGCAAUACAAGGCGGACGGCUCAGUAACACGUAGUCAACCUAACUCGUGGACGUGGAUAACCUCGGGAAACUGAGAAUAAACCACGAUAGAUCAUAAUGCCUGGAAUGGCUUAUGGUCCAAACAGUUUACUGCCAUGGGAUGGGACUGCGGCCUAUCAGCUUGUUGGUGAGGUAAUGGCCCACCAAGGCGAUUACAGGUACGGGCUCUGAGAGGAGAAGCCCGGAGAUGGGUACUGAGACACGGACCCAGGCCCUAUGGGGCGCAGCAGGCGAGAAACCUUAGCAAUGUGCGAAAGCACGACUGGGUCGGUCCGAGUGAUUCCUGAUAAAGGAGUCUUUUGCUUGUCCUAAAAGCACAGGUGAAUAAGGGGUGGGCAAGUCUGGUGUCAGCCGCCGCGGUAAUACCAGCACCUCGAGUGGUCAGGACGUUUAUUGGGCCUAAAGCAUCCGUAGCCGGCUUUGCAAGUCUUCGGUUAAAUCCACCUGCUCAACAGAUGGGCUGCUGGAGAUACUACAGAGCUAGGGAGUGGGAGAGGCAGACGGUAUUCAGUGGGUAGGGGUAAAAUCCUCUGAUCCAUUGAGGACCACCAGUGGCGAAGGCGGUCUGCCAGAACACGUUCGACGGUGAGGGAUGAAAGCUGGGGGAGCAAACCGGAUUAGAUACCCGGGUAGUCCCAGCUGUAAACGAUGCAAACUCGGUGAUGCAUUGGCUUAUGGCCAAUGCAGUGCCGCAGGGAAGCCGUUAAGUUUGCCGCCUGGGAAGUACGGACGCAAGUCUGAAACUUAAAGGAAUUGGCGGGGGAGCACCACAAGGGGUGAAGCCUGCGGUUCAAUUGGAGUCAACGCCAGGAAUCUUACCCGGGGAGACAGCAGAAUGAAGGUCAAGCUGAAGACUUUACCAGACAAGCUGAGAGGAGGUGCAUGGCC